UAAGGGCACAUGGGGGAUGUCUUGGCGUUAGGAGGAGAAGGGCGUGGAAGUCUGCGAAAAGCCUGGGGAAGUUGACACACAAGCGAUGAUCCCGGGGUUCCCGACCACAGCACACUGAAUACAUAGGUGUGUAUGUAACAACCUGGUGAACUGAAACAUCUAAGUAACCAGAGGAACAGAAAGAAAAAUCGAUUCCGUCAGUAGCGGCGAGCGAAAUCGGAAUAGCCCAAACCGAGGAGGUUUCCUUCUCGGGGUUGUAGGACUUCAAUAUGGGAUUGAGACGUGUUAGUGAAACGACUUGGAACGGUCGGCCACAGAGGGUGACAGCCCCGUACGCGAAAAUAUUGUCUCACCUUAGAAGCACCUGAGUAGGUCCAGUCACGUGAAACCUGGAUUGAAUCGGCGGGGCCCAUCCCGCAAGGCUAAAUACUCUCUGAUGACCGAUAGUGAACUCAGUAUGGCGACUGAAAGAUGAGAAGAACCCCUUCUAGGGGAGGUAUGUGAACCUGAAACCAUGUGCCUACAAGCGGUCGGAGCCCGAUUCAUGGGUGACGGCGUGCCUUUUGCAUAAUGAUCCGGCGAGUUACCGUCAAUGGCUCGAUUAAGGCCUUCCGGGCCGUAGUCUCAGCGAAAGCAAGUCUGAAUAGGGCGUUUUGUCAGUGGCGGUAGACGCGAAACCAGGUGAACUACCCAUGAGCAGGUUGAAGCGCGGGUAAGACUGCGUGGAGGACCGAACCCACCUAGGUUGAAAACUGGGGGGAUGACUUGUGGGGAGGAGUAAAAGUCUAAUCAAACCUGGAGAUAGCUCGUUCUCUCCGAAAUAGCUUUAGGGCUAGCCUUGAGCCACUACGUAAUGGGGGUAGAGCACUGAUUUGGACUGGGGCCCUUCCCGGGUACCCACCCUAGUUAAACUCCGAAUACCAUUGCGAUUAUCUCAGGAGUCAGUCCACGAGGGAGAAGCUUCGUGGUCGAGAGGGAAACAACCCAGACCGCCUGCUAAGGUCCCAAAGUCUUGCUAAGUCACUAAGGAUGUUAAGAUACUGUGACAGCCAGGAUGUUGGCUUAGAAGCAGCCAUCAUUUAAAAAGUGCGUAAUAGCUUACUGGUCGAGUGUUUUAGCACCGAUAAUGAACGGGAGUAAGCAAGACACCGAAGCAGCGGAUUCAGCUCACGCUGAGUGGUAGGAGAGCGUUCCAGCACAGAUACAAGCCGUACCGAAAGGAGCGGUGUCGGGUGCUGGAAGUGAUUAUGCCGGAAUGAGUAACGAUAAAACAGGUGAGAAUCCUGUUCGCCGCAAACCUAAGGUUUCCUGGGGAAGGUAAUUCCGCCCAGGGUUAGCCGGUACCUUAGUUGAGGCCGAAAGGCGUAGACGAUGGAGAGCAGGUUAAUAUUCCUGCGCCGGAUAUGUGGACCGAUGGGGGGACGUUGUGUAGAUUGUGAUCGGGCUGACAGAAAUGCCCGUAGGGGAAGACAAGGUCGUGGAUAGGAAAAUCCGCCACAUCAGACCAAGGCUUUCACUCGAGUCCAAUGAUGACGAAGUCAUAUGACGCAUAACCAAGAAAAGCCUCUAAGGAUUGAAGCAUAUCUGACCGUACUAAAACUGACACAGGUAGGUGAGGCGCGUAGCCUAAGGCGCUCGAGAAAACGCUGGUUAAGGAACUCUGCAAAUUGACCCCGUAAGUUAGCGAUAAGGGGUGCCUCCGACGGUUCACGCUGUUGGAGGCCACAGAAAAUCGGCUCUGGCGACUGUUUACUAAAAACACAGGACUCUGCGAACUCGUAAGAGGAUGUAUAGAGUCUGACUCCUGCUCGGUGCCGGUAAGUUAAGGAAGAGGGUUAGCCUUCGGGCGAAGCUCGCAACCGAAGCUCCGGUAAACGGCGGCCGUAACUAUGACGGUCCUAAGGUAGCGAAGUUCCUUGUCGGGUAAGUUCCGACCUGCAUGAAAGGCG
rnacentral:rRNA from 1 species